rnacentral:rRNA from 1 species
GAUGAACGCUAGCGGGAGGCCUAACACAUGCAAGCCGAGCGGACGGGCUUCUUCGGAAACUCGAGAGCGUCGCCCGGGUGCGUAACACGUGUGCAACCUACCUUUAUCUGUGGGAUAGCCUUUCGUAAGGAAGAUCAAUACCCCAUAAUAUAAUGAUUUGCAUCAAUUAUUAUUGAUAACUCAGGUGGAUAGUGAUGGGCACGCGCAAGAUUAGAUCGUUGGUGAGGUAACUGCUCACCAAGUCAAUGAACUUUAGGGGUGCUGAGAGGCAGAUCCCCCACACUGGUACUGAGGCACGGACCAGACUCCUACGGGAGGCAGGAGUGAGGAAUAUUAGACAAUGAGUGAGAGCGUGAUCCAGCCAUCCCGCGUGAAGGAUGACGGUCCUAUGGAUUGUAAACUUCUAUUGUACAGGGAUAAACCUACCCACGUGAGGGUAGCUGAAGGUACUGUACGAAUAAGCACCGGCUAACUCCGUG